rnacentral:piRNA from 2 species
UCCAUGCCAUGUUGCAGAGAGUUC